rnacentral:rRNA from 1 species
UCGAUGCGACUGAUUAGAAGCUUGCUUCUAUGACGUUAGCGGCGGACGGGUGAGUAACACGUGGGCAACCUGCCUGUAAGACUGGGAUAACUCCGGGAAACCGGAGCUAAUACCGGAUAACAUUUUCUCUUGCAUAAGAGAAAAUUUGAAAGAUGGAUUUCGGCUAUCACUUACAGAUGGGCCCGCGGUGCAUUAGCUAGUUGGUGAGGUAACGGCUCACCAAGGCAACGAUGCAUAGCCGACCUGAGAGGGUGAUCGGCCACACUGGGACUGAGACACGGCCCAAAGACUCCUACGGGAGGCAGCAGUGGAAU